UACGUAGGGUGCAAGCGUUGUCCGGAAUUAUUGGGCGUAAAGAGCUCGUAGGCGGUCUGUCGCGUCUGCUGUGAAAACCUGGGGCUUAACCCCGGGCCUGCAGUGGGUACGGGCAGACUAGAGUGCGGUAGGGGAGACUGGAAUUCCUGGUGUAGCGGUGAAAUGCGCAGGUAUCAGGAGGAACACCGGUGGCGAAGGCGGGUCUCUGGGCCGUAACUGACGCUGAGGAGCGAAAGCAUGGGGAGCGAACAGG
rnacentral:rRNA from 1 species